UACGUAGGCAGCGAGCGUUGUUCGGAAUUACUGGGCGUAAAGAGUGUGUAGGCGGUGCUCUAAGUUCGGUGUGAAAUCUCCCGGCUUAACUGGGAGGGUGCGCCGGAAACUGGAGUGCUCGAGCGUGGGAGAGGAAAGCGGAAUUCCUGGUGUAGCGGUGAAAUGCGUAGAUAUCAGGAGGAACACCUGCGGUGUAGACGGUUUUCUGGACCAUUGCUGACGCUGAGACACGAAAGCGUGGGUAGCAAACAGG
rnacentral:rRNA from 1 species